rnacentral:rRNA from 1 species
AUUAACGUGGGGCUUCGGCCCCGCCGAGAUAGAACCCUUGCCUUUUUGUAUACCGUCCGUUUCCUCGGCAGGCUCGCCUGCCAAUGGGGACCAUAAUAAACCUUUGUAAUAACCUGUAAUUGUCUGAUCAAAAAAUUAAAUUUAAAACUUUUAACAACGGAUCUCUUGGUUCUGGCAUCGAUGAAGAACGCAGCGAAAUGCGAUAAGUAAUGUGAAUUGCAGAAUUCAGUGAAUCAUCGAAUCUUUGAACGCACAUUGCGCCCUCUGGUAUUCCGGGGGGCAUGCCUGUUCGAGCGUCAUUACAACCCUCAAGCUUUGCUUGGUAUUGGACAUUGCCAGUUUCUGGCAGGUCUUAAAAUCAGUGGCGGUGCCAUUUGGCUUCAAGCGUAGUAAUUCUUCUCGCUUUGGAGAUCCAAGUGGUUACUUGCCAAUAACCCCCAAUUUUUUCAGGUUGACCUCGGAUCAGGUAGGGAUACCCGCUGAACUUAAGCAUAUCAAUAAGCGGAGGA